rnacentral:rRNA from 1 species
AACAAAACGCUGGCGGCGUGCCUAACACAUGCAAGUCGUACGAGAAAGGGUCCUUCGGGACCUGAGUAAAGUGGCGCACGGGUGAGUAGCGCGUGGAUAAUCUACCCUUCAGUUGGGAACAACUCAUCGAAAGGUGGGCUAAUACCGAAUAAUACUACUCGACCUUGGUCGAGCAGCCAAAAGAGAGCCUCUGCUUGCAAGCCCUCGCUGAAGGAUGAGUUCGCGUACCAUUAGCUUGUUGGUAGGGUAAUGGCCUACCAAGGCGACGAUGGUUAGCUGGUCUGAGAGGAUGAUCAGCCACACUGGAACUGAGACACGGUCCAGACUCCUACGGGAGGCAGCAGUGAGGAAUCUUGCGCAAUGGGGAAACCCUGACCCAGCGACGCCGCGUGAGGGAAGAAGGUUUUCGGAUUGUAAACCUCUGUUCUUGGUGAAGAGGGGAAGACGGUAGCCAAGGAGGAAGCCCCGGCUAACUACGUGCCAGCAGCCGCGGUAAGCUAGUCU